rnacentral:rRNA from 1 species
GAAGGUGUGCUGUGAGGCAUGCUGGAGGUAUCAGAAGUGCGAAUGCUGACAUAAGUAACGAUAAAGCGGGUGAAAAGCCCGCUCGCCGGAAGACCAAGGGUUCCUGUCCAACGUUAAUCGGGGCAGGGUGAGUCGACCCCUAAGACGAGGCCGAAAGGCGUAGUCGAUGGGAAACAGGUUAAUAUUCCUGUACUUGGUGUUACUGCGAAGGGGGGACGGAGAAGGCUAUGUUGGCCGGGCGACGGUUGUCCCGGUUUAAGCGUGUAGGCUGGUUUUCCAGGCAAAUCCGGAAAAUCAAGGCUGAGGCGUGAUGACGAGGCACUACGGUGCUGAAGCAACAAAUGCCCUGCUUCCAGGAAAAGCCUCUAAGCAUCAGGUAACAUCAAAUCGUACCCCAAACCGACACAGGUGGUCAGGUAGAGAAUACCAAGGCGCUUGAGAGAACUCGGGUGAAGGAACUAGGCAAAAUGGUGCCGUAACUUCGGGAGAAGGCACGCUGAUAUGUAGGUGAAGUCCCUCGCGGAUGGAGCUGAAAUCAGUCGAAGAUACCAGCUGGCUGCAACUGUUUAUUAAAAACACAGCACUGUGCAAACACGAAAGUGGACGUAUACGGUGUGACGCCUGCCCGGUGCCGGAAGGUUAAUUGAUGGGGUUAGCGGUAACGCGAAGCUCUUGAUCGAAGCCCCGGUAAACGGCGGCCGUAACUAUAACGGUCCUAAGGUAGCGAAAUUCCUUGUCGGGUAAGUUCCGACCUGCACGAAUGGCGUAAUGAUGGCCAGGCUGUCUCCACCCGAGACUCAGUGAAAUUGAACUCGCUGUGAAGAUGCAGUGUACCCGCGGCAAGACGGAAAGACCCCGUGAACCUUUACUAUAGCUUGACACUGAACAUUGAGCCUUGAUGUGUAGGAUAGGUGGGAGGCUUUGAAGUGUGGACGCCAGUCUGCAUGGAGCCGACCUUGAAAUACCACCCUUUAAUGUUUGAUGUUCUAACGUUGACCCGUAAUCCGGGUUGCGGACAGUGUCUGGUGGGUAGUUUGACUGGGGCGGUCUCCUCCUAAAGAGUAACGGAGGAGCACGAAGGUUGGCUAAUCCUGGUCGGACAUCAGGAGGUUAGUGCAAUGGCAUAAGCCAGCUUGACUGCGAGCGUGACGGCGCGAGCAGGUGCGAAAGCAGGUCAUAGUGAUCCGGUGGUUCUGAAUGGAAGGGCCAUCGCUCAACGGAUAAAAGGUACUCCGGGGAUAACAGGCUGAUACCGCCCAAGAGUUCAUAUCGACGGCGGUGUUUGGCACCUCGAUGUCGGCUCAUCACAUCCUGGGGCUGAAGUAGGUCCCAAGGGUAUGGCUGUUCGCCAUUUAAAGUGGUACGCGAGCUGGGUUUAGAACGUCGUGAGACAGUUCGGUCCCUAUCUGCCGUGGGCGCUGGAGAACUGAGGGGGGCUGCUCCUAGUACGAGAGGACCGGAGUGGACGCAUCACUGGUGUUCGGGUUGUCAUGCCAAUGGCACUGCCCGGUAGCUAAAUGCGGAAGAGAUAAGUGCUGAAAGCAUCUAAGCACGAAACUUGCNAAGCUCUUGAUCGAAGCCCCGGUAAACGGCGGCCGUAACUAUAACGGUCCUAAGGUAGCGAAAUUCCUUGUCGGGUAAGUUCCGACCUGCACGAAUGGCGUAAUGAUGGCCAGGCUGUCUCCACCCGAGACUCAGUGAAAUUGAACUCGCUGUGAAGAUGCAGUGUACCCGCGGCAAGACGGAAAGACCCCGUGAACCUUUACUAUAGCUUGACACUGAACAUUGAGCCUUGAUGUGUAGGAUAGGUGGGAGGCUUUGAAGUGUGGACGCCAGUCUGCAUGGAGCCGACCUUGAAAUACCACCCUUUAAUGUUUGAUGUUCUAACGUUGACCCGUAAUCCGGGUUGCGGACAGUGUCUGGUGGGUAGUUUGACUGGGGCGGUCUCCUCCUAAAGAGUAACGGAGGAGCACGAAGGUUGGCUAAUCCUGGUCGGACAUCAGGAGGUUAGUGCAAUGGCAUAAGCCAGCUUGACUGCGAGCGUGACGGCGCGAGCAGGUGCGAAAGCAGGUCAUAGUGAUCCGGUGGUUCUGAAUGGAAGGGCCAUCGCUCAACGGAUAAAAGGUACUCCGGGGAUAACAGGCUGAUACCGCCCAAGAGUUCAUAUCGACGGCGGUGUUUGGCACCUCGAUGUCGGCUCAUCACAUCCUGGGGCUGAAGUAGGUCCCAAGGGUAUGGCUGUUCGCCAUUUAAAGUGGUACGCGAGCUGGGUUUAGAACGUCGUGAGACAGUUCGGUCCCUAUCUGCCGUGGGCGCUGGAGAACUGAGGGGGGCUGCUCCUAGUACGAGAGGACCGGAGUGGACGCAUCACUGGUGUUCGGGUUGUCAUGCCAAUGGCACUGCCCGGUAGCUAAAUGCGGAAGAGAUAAGUGCUGAAAGCAUCUAAGCACGAAACUUGCNCCGAGAUGAGUUCUCCCUGACCCUUUAAGGGUCCUGAAGGAACGUUGAAGACGACGACGUUGAUAGGCCGGGUGUGUAAGCGCAGCGAUGCGUUGAGCUAACCGGUACUAAUGAACCGUGAGGCUUAACCUU